UACGAAGGGGGCUAGCGUUGCUCGGAAUCACUGGGCGUAAAGCGCACGUAGGCGGUCUCUUAAGUCGGUGGUGAAAUCCUGGAGCUCAACUCCAGAACUGCCUUCGAUACUGGGAGUCUUGAGUCCGGGAGAGGUGAGUGGAACUGCGAGUGUAGAGGUGAAAUUCGUAGAUAUUCGCAAGAACACCAAUAGCGAAGGCAGCUCGCUGGGACGUUACUGACACUGAGGCGCGAAAGCGUGGGGAGCAAACAGG
rnacentral:rRNA from 1 species